GGGAAGGUGGCUCAGUGGUAAAGCACUUGUCUUGCAUGCAUGAGGCCCUGGGUUCAAUUCCUCACCACCACA
rnacentral:tRNA from 1 species